GUCUUAAACUCCUAGUCUCAAACUCCUGGUCUCAAGUGGUCCGCCCACCUCAGCCUCCCAAAGGGCUGGGAUUACGGGUAUGAGCCACCGCGCCCGGUCCCUGAGUGAUGUCGUGAGGGGCAAAAGACUGCGAAGCCUGGAAAGUAACACUUUGGGUUGUCUGAAGUGAAGAGGGCAAGGUUGGGCAGGAUGAAGGGUGAGUGCCAUGAGAAAGGGGCCAGCGAAAUGGGCUGGGACUAGACGUUGAGAGGUGAGUGGUUGAUUUCUGAUUUCUAUGGUUUGAAGAAAAAGACCCGAUAACAUUUUCCACUAGUGUAGAAGGAGGGGGAAGCCCCCACCCCCAGACCUGAGACAGGAUGUGGGGAUGCUUGUAGGUGUCUAAGGCCUUGGCAGGGAAGGUGGCAUCUAAUCUGGAAAGGCCAAUGGCGCAGUUCCUGUGGAGAAAGAAGGGUGUGCAAUUUUGCAGCUGCUGAAAGGGAUUGUCAUACUGCUGCAGCCUUUCUUGGGUUGGAUGAUCAAGAAGAGGGGUCAAGGGGAUGUCUGCUUCUGAACCCAAGAGAAUAAACUGAACAGUUCCCUAGGGCUUACUGUAAAUGAGAUAGCAGAGGUGGGAGAGGAUGGGAGAUCAGGUGUUUAAAGGUAGGAGUGACAAAGAGUGUUUGUUGUAUCCCUUUUUUGGUUUUUGUUUUCUGGGUUUUUUUUGUUUUUUGUUUUUUGUUUGAGACAGGAUCUCAACCUGUCACCCAGGCUGGAGUGCAGUGGCGUGGCAUGAUCUUGGCUCACUGUAGCCCUGACUCCCAGGGCUCGAGUGAUCCUCCUACCUCAGACGGCUGAGUAACUGGGACUGCAGG
rnacentral:lncRNA from 1 species